rnacentral:rRNA from 1 species
CGGGGGAGCACCACAAGGGGUGAAGCCUGCGGUUCAAUUGGAGUCAACGCCAGGAAUCUUACCCGGGGAGACAGCAGAAUGAAGGUCAAGCUGAAGACUUUACCAGACAAGCUGAGAGGAGCUGCAUGGCCGUCGCCAGCUCGUGCCGUGAGAUGUCCUGUUAAGUCAGGAAACGAGCGAGAUCCCUGCCUUUAGUUGCCACCAUUAUUCUCAGGAAUAGUGGGGCCAACUAGAGGGACUGCCAUUGUUAAAAUGGAGGAAGGAAGGGGCUACGGCAGGUCAGUAUGGCCCGAAACCCUGGGGCCACACGCGGGCUGCAAUGAUAGUGACAAUGGGCUCCGAGUCCGAAAGGAUGAGGUAAUCUUUAAACACUAUCACAGUAAUGACUGAGGGCUGCAACUCGCCCUCACGAAUAUGGAAUCCCUAGUAACCGCGUGUCAUAACCGCGCAGUGAAUACGUCCCUGCUCCUUGCACACACCGCCCGUCGUUUCAUUGAAGUUGGGUUUUCGCGAGGUGAUGUCAUUUUGGUGUUAUCGAACGUGA